rnacentral:rRNA from 1 species
AGAGAGAGACAUGCGCGCAUAUCAAUAAGCGGAGGAAAAGAAACUAACUAGGAUUCCCUCAGUAACGGCGAGUGAAGCGGGAAGAGCUCAAAUUUGAAAUCUUCAAGGGUUCUACCUUUACGAAUUGUAGUUUAAAGAAGUGUUUUCUGUUGAGGUUUUGGUAAAAGUUCUUUGGAAUCGGACAUCAUAGAGGGUGAGAAUCCCGUAUUUGACCAUUACUUUCAACUUUGUGAUACACUUUCAAAGAGUCGGAUUGUUUGGGAAUGCAGUCCAAAAUGGGUGGUAAAUUUCAUCUAAAGCUAAAUAUUGGCGAGAGACCGAUAGCGAACAAGUACCGUGAGGGAAAGAUGAAAAGAACUUUGAAAAGAGAGUUAAACAGUACGUGAAAUUGUCAAAAGGGAAGCGUUUGACACCAGUGUUGUUUUCUCGAAAAUCAAUUAAAAAAGGCAGGGAUUUUGUGUUGUAUUGACUUUAUCAGCUUUCUGCACUCUUUUCUUGUCUUUUUUAAUGCACUUUUCGUUUAACAAGUCAACAUCAAUUUCUUUUGUUGUAAAAGGGUCAUUGGAAGGUGGCUUUCUUUUCGGAGAAAGUGUUUAUAGCCUUUGGCCUCUGCAAUCGGAGAGAUUGAGGUCUGCAGCGUAGAUCCUUCGGGGUUAGAUACAUUUGUGCUAAGUUAUAGCCUUUCAUAGACAACUUGUUGACUAUGAUCAGUCAUGUAGCUUACUCGCUUAUGCUAUUUUACCUACGCUUAGGAUGUUGAUGUGAUACUGCGAGCA